rnacentral:rRNA from 1 species
GACGAACGCUGGCGGCGUGCUUAACACAUGCAAGUCGAACGGAAAGGCCCUGCUUUUGUGGGGUGCUCGAGUGGCGAACGGGUGAGUAACACGUGAGUAACCUGCCCUUGACUAUGGGAUAACUUCAGGAAACUGGGGCUAAUACCGGAUAGGAGCUCCUGCUGCAUGGUGGGGGUUGGAAAGUUUCGGCGGUUGGGGAUGGACUCGCGGCUUAUGAGCUUGUUGGUGGGGUAGUGGCUUACCAAGGCUUUGACGGGUAGCCGGCCUGAGAGGGUGACCGUCCACAUUGGGACUGAGAUAGGGCCCCGACUCCUACGGGAGCCAGCAGUGGGGAAUAUUGCACAAUGGGCGGAAGCCUGAUGCAGCAGCGCCGCGUGCGGGAUGACGGCCUUCGGGUUGUAAACCGCUUUCGCCUGUGACGAAGCGUGAGUGACGGUAAUGGGUAAAGAAGCACCGGCUAACUACGUG